rnacentral:rRNA from 1 species
UACGAAGGGGACUAGCGUUGUUCGGAAUCACUGGGCGUAAAGCGCACGUAGGCGGAUGUGUCAGUCAGGGGUGAAAUCCCGGGGCUCAACCUCGGAACUGCCUUUGAUACAGCACGUCUCGAGUCCGGAAGAGGUGGGUGGAAUUCCUAGUGUAGAGGUGAAAUUCGUAGAUAUUAGGAAGAACACCGGUGGCGAAGGCGGCCCACUGGAUCGGUACUGACGCUGAGGUGCGAAAGCGUGGGGAGCGAACAGG